AGAGUUUGAUCCUGGCUCAGAACGAACGCUGGCGGCGUGCCUAACACAUGCAAGUCGAGCGGGCCCUUCUAAGAGCUUGCUCUUCUGAGGUUAGCGACGUGCGAACGAACCCUUUUCGACGGACCUGCCCUGUAAACUGUGUGCUCAUACCGUAAUCGCCCUUUGGAGGAAAUAUUUAUCGGAAAUGGAUCGGUCCGUUUUGAAUUAUGGUUCUGCCGUCACUACGGGAUGGGCCCGCGACGAUUUAUCUAUGUGGUGAGGUGACGGCUUACCACGGUGACAAUGCAUAGCCGACCUGAGAGGGUGAUCAGGCACCCUGGGACUGAGACGCAGCCCGGACUCCUACCGGAGGCAGCCGUGCGGAAUCUUCCACAAUAGACUAAAGUCUGACGGAGCAUCUCCGCGUGAGUGAUGAAGGGUUUCGGCUCAUAAAACUCUGUUGUUAAGGAAGAGCCAGUGCCCGAGUAACUGCAAGCGCCUUGACGGUUCCUAACCAUAACGGCACGGCUAACUACGUGCCACCAGCCUUGGUAAUACGUAUGAGGCCAGCGUUGUCCGGAGUUAUUGUGCGUAAAGCGCGCGUAGGCGGUCUCUUAAGUCUGAUGUGAAAGCCCCCAGCUCAACUGGGGAGGGCCAUUGGAAACUGGGAGACUUGAGUACAGAAGAGGAGAGUGGAAUUCCACGUGUAGCGGUGAAAUGCGUAGAUAUGUGGAGGAACACCAGUGGCGAAGGCGACUCUCUGGUCUGUAACUGACGCUGAGGCGCGAAAGCGUGGGGAGCAAACAGGAUUAGAUACCCUGGUAGUCCACGCCGUAAACGAUGAGUGCUAGGUGUUAGGGGGUUUACUUCCCUUAGUGCCGAAGUUAACACAAUAAGUUCUCCGCCUGGGGAGUACGACCGCGAGGAUGAAUCUCAGAAGAAUUGACGGGGGCCCGCACAAGCGGUGGAGCGUGUGUUUUAUUUCAAAGCCACGCAAAGAACCUUACCAGGUCUUGACGUCCGGUUAUCCUCUUAGAUAUGAGGUAUUCUCUUUGGACAGGAACAGAGAUGCUGCGUGUGUGUGUCCAGCUCUCGUGUGGAGAGAUAUGGUGAAAUCUCGCACCGAGCGCGCCCCUCUCGUUUAUUUAUGUGCCUUCAUUUGGGUGCUCUCUCGAGAGUGACUGUGAGAGACAAAGAGGAAGGGGGGGGAGAAGACCAGACCUCAUGGCGCCUAAUGACAGGUGUACUACACUGGUGCUAUGGUGGAGAACACAGGGAGCAAGACCGCGAAGACGAGCUAAUCUCCAUAAAACAUCUCUCUUCGGAUAGAUUGCUGGGACUCUCGCGCCUAAAGGAGGACACUCUAGCUAUCACGCAUCAACCGCCUCGCGGGGUACAUUC
rnacentral:rRNA from 1 species